rnacentral:rRNA from 1 species
AGUGAACGCUGGCGGUAGGCCUAACACAUGCAAGUCGAACGGCAGCACAGUAAGAGCUUGCUCUUACGGGUGGCGAGUGGCGGACGGGUGAGGAAUACAUCGGAAUCUACUUUUUCGUGGGGGAUAACGUAGGGAAACUUACGCUAAUACCGCAUACGACCUACGGGUGAAAGCAGUGGAUCUUCGGACCUUGCGCGAUUGAAUGAGCCGAUGUCGGAUUAGCUAGUUGGCGGGGUAAAGGCCCACCAAGGCGACGAUCCGUAGCUGGUCUGAGAGGAUGAUCAGCCACACGGGAACUGAGACACGGUCCAGACUCCUACGGGAGGCAGCAGUGGGGAAUAUUGGACAAUGGGCGCAAGCCUGAUCCAGCCAUACCGCGUGGGUGAAGAAGGCCUUCGGGUUGUAAAGCCCUUUUGUUGGGAAAGAAAAGCAGCAGGUUAAUACCCCGCUGUUCUGACGGUACCCAAAGAAUAAGCACCGGCUAACUUCGUG